rnacentral:rRNA from 1 species
UACGUAGGGGGCAAGCGUUGCCCGGAAUCAUUGGGCGUAAAGCGCGUGUAGGCGGUUCGGUAAGUCGGCUGUGAAAGUCCAGGGCUCAACCCUGGGAUGCCGGUCGAUACUGCCGGACUAGAGUUCGGAAGAGGCGAGUGGAAUUCCCGGUGUAGCGGUGAAAUGCGCAGAUAUCGGGAGGAACACCAAUGGCGAAGGCAGCUCGCUGGGACGUUACUGACGCUGAGACGCGAAAGCGUGGGGAGCAAACAGG